UGGGGAAUAUUGCACAAUGGGCGCAAGCCUGAUGCAGCCAUGCCGCGUGUAUGAAGAAGGCCUUCGGGUUGUAAAGUACUUUCAGCGGGGAGGAAGGUGUUGUGGUUAAUAACCACAGCAAUUGACGUUACCCGCAGAAGAAGCACCGGCUAACUCCGUGCCAGCAGCCGCGGUAAUACGGAGGGUGCAAGCGUUAAUCGGAAUUACUGGGCGUAAAGCGCACGCAGGCGGUCUGUCAAGUCGGAUGUGAAAUCCCCGGGCUCAACCUGGGAACGGCAUCCGAAACUGGCAGGCUUGAGUCUUGUAGAGGGGGGUAGAAUUCCAGGUGUAGCGGUGAAAUGCGUAGAGAUCUGGAGGAAUACCGGUGGCGAAGGCGGCCCCCUGGACAAAGACUGACGCUCAGGUGCGAAAGCGUGGGGAGCAAACA
rnacentral:rRNA from 1 species